UGGUUUUACUGUAAACUGGUCGUCGACCUAAGACGUUUUCCUCGUCUGAUCGCAUCUGACUCAUGUUUUGUUUAUUUAUUUUUGUCAACAGAUCUUUCUGUGACGCAGCGUGGAGGCAUGACCUUAGUGUCGAGCACCGGGCGCCCCCGCACCCAGCAAUCGACGGCCCCUGCAAGAGCCGGGUGAGGGCUUUCUGUCCGCACCACCCGCUCCGCCUUCACUGCCUACGAACCGAGGUCAACGACCUCCUCCUCACGACUUCCUCCACGGUUCAUCGGCAUGCCCAAUUCUUCAUAAAGCCCUGGUCUUCCUUGUGCCGGACGGAGGCUGGACAUCUAUCGGAGUCGACGUCUCGCCAAGUUGGCUUCGGUCUGCAGUAACGGGUGCGGCCGCGGUGCAGCGACGUCGUCUCUCCUCGAUUUUCUUGGGGGCCUUACACAGGCCUUGCCCCCCGAAGUGUAGUCCGCUAGUCUCCCGGCGGAAGCGCAGACGGUGCAUCGCGGUGCCAGUGUGCAUCCGGAUGCCACGUGGCCGGUCUGUCCGCACCAGUAGCAGUCGUGACUGUGGUCAACCGACGACGGGCACCGGGCGCCCACAUGGCCCAGCGCGUGGCAGCGGUUCAUUGUAGCCUCCGGGCCUCCAGCAGGCGGACGCGAACAACGCUCCACUCAAUGCGCAGCUUCGUCACUGCGACAAUCGUCUUCGCCGCUGCUAUCGGGUAACAAACGAGAACUUGGCCCAUUCCUCCGGGUCCAGCCUUGAUAGAGCCAGCCUUGACUGCAUCGACGGAGCAUUCGCCGCUGUAUUUUACAAUGAUAAUCCAAUUUAGUGCUCACUAAUACUCAAGAUUGAAUCGCCGGAAAAUAUGUUAAAAUAAUGAAUUAUUAUAAUUAAUUAAUUUCAUGAUGACAAUUAUGUUUACGAAAUUAUUAAUGUGGGUUUACAUCACAACGAUUCCUGGUAAUGAAUGAAGGCCUUGAAAAAAGUUCAUUGACCUUACAUUACGUAUAUAUUUCAAUUUAAAUUAAUAAAAUUUUUACGUCAUCUAUUAUUUAUAUAAUCAUAAGGUUGUUUAUGAAAAUUCUUGAAUAUUUCACGUUCUAGAACACAUUUUGGUAAUUAAGUAUAAACAGACGCAAUUUUUUUUUCUUCUAAUGACUUAAUUAGUAAUUUAGUUACCGACAAAGGAUGAAAAUAAUUUUAGUUUUUUUGUACGAAUAGCUAAGGGAAAAGUCUGGGAGACAGUAAAACUUUUUUCAUUUGUGAAUGUAGAGCGUGAGCUAUAUCAAGUAUUUGAUAAAAUAUAGGAUGCAUUAAAAUCGUUUUCCAAAAAAUUAACAUGUAUACAGUUUUGAAAAUACAAAGAAUCAUCACGAUCAACACAUAUUUUAUUAUUUUAUUUAAGUUAUUUUCAUAGAACGUAGUACGAAGAAGAACUUAGCCGGUGAUUGGGGAAACGUGGAUUACCGCCUCGUGCAUUAUAAGUUUCACUAAAACAAGAUUUUAAUAAAAAAAGAAAAUGAACUACAACAAAA